rnacentral:rRNA from 1 species
GAUGAACGCUGGCGGCGCGCAUAACACAUGCAAGUCGAACGAGAGAGGAAGAGCUUGCUUUUCCGAUCGAGUGGCGAACGGGUGAGUAACGCGUGAGGAACCUGCCUCAAAGAGGGGGACAACAGUUGGAAACGACUGCUAAUACCGCAUAAGCCCACGGCUCGGCAUCGAGCAGAGGGAAAAGGAGCAAUCCGCUUUGAGAUGGCCUCGCGUCCGAUUAGCUAGUUGGUGAGGUAACGGCCCACCAAGGCGACGAUCGGUAGCCGGACUGAGAGGUUGAACGGCCACAUUGGGACUGAUACACGGCCCAGACUCCUACGGGAGGCAGCAGUGGGGAAUAUUGCACAAUGGGGGAAACCCUGAUGCAGCGACGCCGCGUGGAGGAAGAAGGUCUUCGGAUUGUAAACUCCUGUUGUUGAGGAAGAUAAUGACGGUACUCAACAAGGAAGUGACGGCUAACUACGUGCCAGCCGCCGCAGUAA